AUACAAACUGAAUGAGACAUUCACAAAGCUGCAAAGAAUUCUUUUUGCUAUAAUUUCUUGCCUCGAAGAAGAACUUGAUUCAUUAAGUCAUCAUGCUUUCAGUAUUUCCUCCUCAAUGGUGGCCUGAUUGAUUCAAUGACAUCUCUCAUAUCUUCUUCAAGAAGCCGACUCUUCAAUGGUGGUUUGUUUUAUCUACUUCUUUCUACAAUUUUUUUUUUUUUUUUUGGUGUAAUAUCCUUAUUUAUCUUUUUUCAUGCUGUAUAACCUUUCUACAUUUUGUCUAUUAUUAUUUCUCUUAUACAUUUGAAACUAUUAAUUUAUUUAUAAAAAUACCAAAAGUCAAAAAUCAUAAAAAAAAAUAAUCAAGAAAUCUAGAAACACUUAAUUUACUCCAAGCUGAUUUGUUAGCAAUUGAUGAUUAAAGGGAUGACUGUAAGGCUUGUAAGAGCGUAUGACUGUAAGAAUGGAAUGACCAUUAAAAUGGACUUUGUUUGGAGCUUGCUAAAAAUGUCAAACCCUCAAUGUUUUUACUGGAUACUAAGAUCAAGUCCGAUUGAGCUGCUCUUUUGACUCUUGUCUCUAGGCAUUACUGGGCUGCGAUCCCCAUCAAUGAAUUUAACAUAGAAGUUCCUUGGUCGGGAAUGCAGUCUGGCAAGGUCUGGAUGAGAGGCAAAAGAGUGUUCACUCAAACUUUUUCUUGGCUUCCAAUAACAACAUUGAGCGUUCAACAUCUUUAGCAUGCCACCAUGCAAAGUCCAAUUUUUAAAGGUGGUUCCAUUGUUAUAAGCAUACGCUCUUACCAGCCUUGCCAUCUUCUCUUCAGCCAUCAAUUGCUUUGUAGUUGGCCAAGUUGACUAUGAUUUAAGUGGAGCUGGAGCUGAAAUGGAUAAUAGACAUUUGUUAUCUUUGUAAGACCACGUGUUUUGGAUUCUUAUCCUUUCUUUAUAGACAAUAUAUUAAUGAAUUUUACUCUUCUUUUAUUCCUAGACGUCAUAGUCAUACAUUAUACAUCUUGUACAAUUUCUUUUGGACACACUAUUUUAUACAGUUUAUUGAUUCAAAUAUUCA